GUAGGUGAACCUGCGGAGGGAUCAUUACCGAGUGCGGGCCCUCGCGCCCAACCUCCAACCCUUUGUCGACUCAUAACUGUUGCCUCGGGGGGCGACCCGGACGCGAGCCCGGGAGUCCCCCAGAGGUCCAAUCAAACACCCUGCGUCUUUGCGUCGGAGUAUUGAAUAUAAAUCAAUCAAAACUUUCAACAACGGAUCUCUUGGUUCUGGCAUCGAUGAAGAACGCAGCAUCUGACUGACUACGUGGUUA
rnacentral:misc_RNA from 1 species